ncrna:Kurthia sp. JC8E Streptococcus sRNA SpF59 (ldcC RNA)
UGACCACUCUUUUAAAGAGUUAAGGCCAUACGGACAGCCGGGUCAACUGCCGC